rnacentral:rRNA from 1 species
UACGGGAGGCAGCAGUGGGGAAUAUUGCACAAUGGGCGAAAGCCUGAUGCAGCGACGCCGCGUGAGCGAUGAAGUAUUUCGGUAUGUAAAGCUCUAUCAGCAGGGAAGAUAAUGACGGUACCUGACUAAGAAGCUCCGGCUAAAUACGUGCCAGCAGCCGCGGUAAU